rnacentral:lncRNA from 1 species
GUAGCAAUAACAGCAGUUGCUGCAAGAGAGAAAAGAAAGAAAGGAAAAAGAAAGAAAGAAAGAAAGAAAUCUGCUGCAGGAAAGAAAAGAAAAGAAAAGAAAAGAAAAGAAAGAAAGAAAAGAAAAGUAAGAAAAGCAAGAAAAGCAAGAAAGAAAGAAAGAAAGGAAGUGAGAAAAAGAAUGAAAGAAAGUAAAUGAAAUAGAGAGAAAGACGGAAUUGAAGUAUUUGGGCAGAUUUCACUAAUCAUUUUGAGGGUCUUGAGCUAGUAAAGAGUUGAAUUACUCUCUUGAACUGUAAAAUUGCAUUGAAAUCGGUUUUUGUGGAAAUUGACCCCGAUAAUGCACUUUUGCAGGAUAAAAAUCCUAACGUGAAAUUGACCGCGUACAAACCAAAUUGGGGGUAAAAGAAACGCGUUGGCGAAGUCGGUUCGGCAAUCCGUCGCUCCUACGCGAAGAUAUCGCCAAAAGAGCGUUUUCGGCACCGAUAGUUACGAGCGCGGGUCGCGGUUCUCGGGAAAGUGCGAGAAGCGGAUUUCUCCCAUUCCGGCAUCAAAGAAAGGUGGGUUGUGCUUACCGAAGUGAUUAGGUCACUUCCAUGCCAAGUAUGAAUUCCCCCCAUUGACGAUAUAUGCUGUAGCGAUUUUUAGUUUUGAAUUAUGAUUAUGGACUGAAGCAUUGAGUUAUGUAAGUUGUUAUCAUUAGAUAUGUAAUGAAUAUAGUGUAAUUGUAUGAAUUAUUUAUUAGUAUGUCCUAACUAGAGACAUAUGAAUGCGUGACUUGUGAGUGCUAGUUGCAAAAAGGGCUAAAUGUAUAUGAAAAUGAACGCGAGAGACAUGAGAAUGAAUAUAUAUAUGAACGGGAAAGCCAUAGUUAUGCUAAAUUCAUAUGUUCAUGAUAUAUAAAUGUUGAACUUGUAAAUAUCAUGUUAAACUAAAGCCAAGGGCAUAUAAGUUGAAUGGGAAAUGUGCAUAGAAAUGCUAUAUGAACAUCGCUAAUUCUAGUUGAUGUAAACUAUGAACCUCACGUGAAACCCUAAGUAUUGGGUAUAAAUCGACAACUCCAAUUGAGUAGAAAUCUGGACGGUAACAAGAUAAAUGAAAAUGUGCAAAUUAUAACCCUAGUUGUGGAUGACUAGGAUAAUGAAUAGAUCGAGUGGCAUGAACCUAGUAUUAUUAAACAUAGGUUGGACAUGAGAUGAACCUAGUGUUAUUGAACAUAGGUCGAACAUCAACCUAAUGUCAUUGGACAUAGGUCAAGUAAGUAAACCUAGAGUUGGGAUUUAGGAGAAAGAAUAUAAAACCUAGUGUAAAUGAACCUAGGUUGUGAUGUAAAGAAACGCUCAGUAAAAGUAAAUCAAGUUGUGAAUUAUAGUGGCAAUAGGACCACUAGAAAGUGAAUAGUAUAGACCUAAGAAGGUCGUCAACAUAGGGUCAGUGAGUAAACCCUUAAGUUGUGAAAAUGAAUUCCGGAAUCCCUAGGAUUGGUGUGAUGGCAGAAACAGAAUCUUAACUACGGGAUUGACGGUUCUCCUCUCCCGGUAGUGAUUCAACGGGAUUGACGGUUCUCCUCUCCCGGAGCUAACGGGUUUGACGGUUCUCCUCGCCCGUUGAGCUUGAGCGACAUAGGGUCACGGGGAUCGACGGUUCUCCUCUCCCUGUGAUGGACCUAGUGUCGCGUGGACUUAAGGCUGAGGUGUUGUGAGACGUCCUUCACCUCGAGCCUGACUUGACGCGGUACUCCGCGGUUGAUUGACUCAAGACCGAGUCGAGUGGCUAGAUGGCUAAGGUAAAGUAACCUUAGGAAAGAAUCGCCAGUGAGUACAAUAAGAAUAAAGAAUAAAGCAUAAAGAAAAGAAUAAAGAAAAUAGCUAAUGAAUGAAACUAGCUAAGAAAUAAUAGAACGACUACAAGUAAAGAAUGGCUAAUAAUAUAAAGUAGAAUCAAAUAAGCUACUUUCAUGAUUUACAGGUAUUGCAUAGUGCAUAGCAGCGAGGCAAGGUAUGGUUCUAUUUGUUGCAUCGUUAAAUAUCUAUCUAUCUAUUUGUUGAACUAACCUACUGUUGCCUCCUUUGGACCUGGUGGGUCGAGCUCUUCUCUUGGGUGGCCGUACCCACUGGGAACUAUAUUUAUAUAGUUCUCACCCCCGUGUUGUUUUGGGGGUAUAGGUUGCACGUGAGCGGCGUGGCGGCGCGAGGACAGGGCGUAGCUUCGUAGAUAGCGCCCCACCACUGAGACUGAGAUAGCAACACCCUGAAGAGGUCAAGUUCAGAGUUCAAAUUGAAAGAAACAAAAUUGUAGUAAUUUGUAUAAGUUUUGUAAUAAUUUAAAGGCUUAUGUAAUAUUGUAAAUGUAAAAAUUCUGAGAUGAAUGCUUGUAAUAGCAUAGUUUGCAUUUAUGUUUUUGAUACUUAUGCAAUCUAUAUACUUGCUACAGUUCCUGUUUGGAACCUCUUGUGUUGCAUUGUUUAGAUUGUUGACGCCUAGAACGUACAGGGGAGGCUCUGUCCGUUCGGCGGUCUGUCGGCGUGCCCGAAUCCGACCAAAUAGGCGGAGCUCGGGGCGUGACACCGUGAGCUUGAUCUAUCCUCUCCAUGUGAGGAUACCCUACGAACUAGGGCCAACAUUUACGCCGAACUAUCUAUUCUGACAUUCAUGCAUAAUUACUUAGCUAUACUAAGUUCACUGUUCUC